GUAAAUCUUUCUUUUCCCCAAAUCAGAUAAAAAUCACAAUUUUUAGGUCUCACAAAUUGAAGAACGACGCCUUCUUCUCCAAGUAUGAAAUUUCUCAAGAACAAUCCUCACAGAUUGAAGAACGACGCCUUCUUCUCCAAGUCUGAAAUUUCUCAAGAACGAUCCUCACAGAUUGAAGAACGACGCAUUUUUCAAUUUCAUGGUUGUUCACCUGUGACCUAUGAAAAUCCGUCAUAGAUUUCUCGUUGUUAAUCAAGGAAAAAACAAAAUGCUUCAAUUAAGAAGAUGAUGUCUUAAAGCUUCAUCACAUUGAAAGGAUUUUGUUGGAAUAGGGUUUAUCAGGGCUUAGUACACAAUUUGAAUAUGGAAAAAUGCAACCAAGCUUAUCUGAAAAGUAAUGAACAGCCAAACGAUCUUCAAUGAUAUGACAAAUCCAUAUUGAUUCUCUUAAGUUCGAGAGAUUACUGAUUAUGGAUGGGGCAGAUUCACUAUAGCCUCUCUUUUAUUUAUCCAGGACAUUAUGUGAUGAUGGAACGGUAGAAAUUAUUGGACCAAUAGCCACAACAGUUGAGGACACCAUACUUGUUCUCUUUCUUGUGUUCCUAAUUCUCCUUCACAAGGGAGCUCGCGAUCUGUGGAAUCACUGCGCCUUGGAAAAUAUGCAGAGACUGUAAAGAUUGUAAUACCAGAGCUGCAUGAGAUGCGCAUUGCUCAUAUUGUUUCUAUUGGGUCUGAAUCAUUGUGCACAUUGAAUCCAGACUGUGGUGACGGGAAAUGAGCAAGAUUGAAAUAUGAUACACGUACAAAUCUGGCAUUUUUCGUUCAUUUACUGCAGCAGACUAUGUUGCUGCUCAGCGGCUUAGGCGGAGGUUAGUGUAUUUCUUUCGAGUGGGCCACAGAGGCAUGAUAUAUGGAGUUGCCCAAAUAUCUAUCACCAUUCAAGCAUAUCAUGUCAGUGACUAAUCCACACACAACAAGAAAUUCCUAAAAUUUGUAUCUAUAUUCUACUUUUACUUGAUAUGGAGUUGCCCAAAUGUAGUUUAUUAGUGAUCAUUUAAGUAUUUUGUUCUUUUCUCCCAGAUUUAUUAAUUCAUAUAUGCCAAAACAGUCUUGGAAUACAUGUAGAACUAGGAUUUUAUAGUUUUUGUAACAACAACUGAUUGGAAAAUGGAUUUUGCUGUAGUUACUUACUGUGAUAUCGUAGUAGCAUAUGAAAUACAUGUUUUAAUAACAACUAAGAGUCCUAUUUUUCAUAACAGUACCACUACAUUGGGAA